UACAGAGGUGGCAAGCGUUGUUCGGAAUUACUGGGCGUAAAGCGCGUGUAGGCGGCUAAGUAAGUCGGGCGUGAAAUCCCACGGCUCAACCGUGGAAGUGCACUCGAAACUGCAUAGCUAGAGUCCUGGAGAGGAAGGUGGAAUGCUUGGUGUAGAGGUGAAAUGCGCAGAUAUCGGGAGGAACACCAGUGGCGAAGGCGACUUCCUGGCCUGUUCUUGACGCUGAGGCGCGAAAGCUAGGGGAGCAAACGGG
rnacentral:rRNA from 1 species